AGAGUUUGAUCCUGGCUCAGGAUGAACGCUGGCGGUCUGCUUAACACAUGCAAGUCGAACGAAUCCCUUCGGGGAUUAGUGGCGGACGGGUGAGUAACGCGUGAGAAUCUGCCAAAAGGACUGGGACAACCACUGGAAACGGUGGCUAAUACCGGAUGAGCCGCAACGUAAAAGAGGAAACUCGCCUUUUGAGGAGCUCGCGUCUGAUUAGCUAGUUGGUGAGGUAAAGGCUCACCAAGGCGGCGAUCAGUAGCUGGUCUGAGAGGAUGAUCAGCCACACUGGGACUGAGACACGGCCCAGACUCCUACGGGAGGCAGCAGUGGGGAAUUUUCCGCAAUGGGCGAAAGCCUGACGGAGCAAGACCGCGUGAGGGAGGAAGGCUCUUGGGUUGUAAACCUCUUUUGUCAGGGAAGAACACAGUGACGGUACCUGAAGAAUCAGCAUCGGCUAACUCCGUGCCAGCAGCCGCGGUAAUACGGAGGAUGCAAGCGUUAUCCGGAAUUAUUGGGCGUAAAGCGUCCGCAGGUGGCACUUCAAGUCUGCUGUCAAAGACCGGGGCUUAACCCUGGAAAGGCAGUGGAAACUGAAGCGCUAGAGUGUGGCAGGGGUAGAGGGAAUUCCCGGUGUAGCGGUGAAAUGCGUAGAGAUCGGGAAGAACAUCGGUGGCGAAAGCGCUCUACUGGGCCACAACUGACACUCAGGGACGAAAGCUAGGGGAGCGAAUGGGAUUAGAUACCCUAGUAGUCC
rnacentral:rRNA from 1 species